AUGGGUCACCAGCAGCUGUACUGGAGCCACCUACAAAAAUUCUCGCUCUUGUCGCGUCUGUUCAAACCGGCACGGUCUGAUCCGGAAACACGGCCUCAAUAUGUGCCGCCAGUGUUUCCGUCAGUACGUGAAGGAUAUUGGUUUCAUUAAGUUGGACUAAAUGAUCUUCCUUCAAAGGAUUAUCCAAGGCAUCUACUCAAUGAAAAACCAUGAUAGUUCUUUGUACAUAAAAUAAACAUUUGAAAAAACAAAA